rnacentral:rRNA from 1 species
AUACGAAUGGGGCAAACGUUGUUCGGAAUCACUGGGCAUAAAGGGCGCGUAGGCGGUUCGUUAAGUCGGGGUUGAAAUCCCUCAGCUCAACUGAGGAAUGGGUUUCGAUACUGGCGAACUUGAGGCCGGCAGGGGCUUGUGGAACGGGCAGUGGAGCGGUGAAAUUCGUAGAUAUCUGGAGGAACACCAGCGGCGAAGGCGGCCUUCUGGACGAUGACUGACGCUGAGACGCGAAAGCGUGGGGAGCAAACAGGAUUAGAAACCCCGGUAGUCC